rnacentral:rRNA from 1 species
UUAAGUGACUAAGCGUACACGGUGGAUGCCUUGGCAGUUGGAGGCGAUGAAGGACGUACUAACUUGCGAUAAGCCUAGUCAAGCCAGUAAGAGGCGCUUGAGACUAGGAUUUCCGAAUGGGGAAACCCACCUGCUUGCAGGUAUCGUUAACUGAAUACAUAGGUUAACGAGGCGAACGCGGAGAACUGAAACAUCUAAGUACCCGUAGGAAAAGAAAUCAACCGAGAUUCCGAAAGUAGCGGCGAGCGAAAUCGGAGCAGCCCUUAAGCUUUAGUGUAGUUAGUGGAASAUGYUGGAAAGCAUGACGAAACAGGGUGAUAGUCCCGUACACAAAAACUUAUCUAAAGUGAAAUCGAGUAGGUCGGAGCACGUGAAACUUUGACUGAAUAUGGGGGGACCAUCCUCCAAGGCUAAAUACUCCCAACUGACCGAUAGUGAACCAGUACCGUGAGGGAAAGGCGAAAAGAACCCCUGUGAGGGGAGUGAAAUAGAACCUGAAACCGUGUACGUACAAGCAGUAGGAGCCUACUUGUUGGGUGACUGCGUACCUUUUGUAUAAUGGGUCAGCGACUUAUAUUCUGUAGCGAGGUUAACCAUUUAGGGGAGCCGUAGCGAAAGCGAGUCUUAACUGGGCGCUUAAGUUGCAGGGUAUAGACCCGAAACCCGGUGAUCUAGCCAUGGGCAGGUUGAAGGUUGAGUAACAUCAACUGGAGGACCGAACCCACUAACGUUGAAAAGUUAGGGGAUGACCUGUGGCUAGGAGUGAAAGGCUAAUCAAACCGGGAGAUAGCUGGUUCUCCCCGAAAUCUAUUUAGGUAGAGCCUCGGACGAAUACUUACGGGGGUAGAGCACUGUUAAGGCUAGGGGGUCAUCCCGACUUACCAACCCUUUGCAAACUCCGAAUACCGUAAAGUAAUAUCCGGGAGACACACGGCGGGUGCUAACGUCCGUCGUGGAGAGGGAAACAACCCAGACCGUCAGCUAAGGUCCCAAAGUGUAUGUUAAGUGGGAAACGAUGUGGGAAGGCUAAAACAGCUAGGAGGUUGGCUUAGAAGCAGCCACCCUUUAAAGAAAGCGUAAUAGCUCACUAGUCGAGUCGGCCUGCGCGGAAGAUGUAACGGGGCUAAACAUACCACCGAAGCUACGGCUGCGUACGUAAGUAUGCGGGGUAGGGGAGCGUUCUGUAAGUGGCUGAAGGUGUGCCGGGAGGCAUGCUGGACAUAUCAGAAGUGCGAAUGCUGACAUGAGUAACGACAAGAGGAGUGAAAAACUCCUCCGCCGGAAGACCAAGGGUUCCUAUCCCAUGUUAAUCAGGGUAGGGUGAGUCGACCCCUAAGGCGAGGCUGAAGAGCGUAGUCGAUGGGAAACGGGUUAAUAUUCCCGUACUCGGUAUGAAUGCGAUGGGGGGACGGAGCAGGCUAGGCAAGCAUGGCGUUGGUUGUCCAUGUGAAAGGCUGUAGGCUGGUGACUUAGGAAAAUCCGGGUUGCYAAGGCUGAGAGUCGAGACGAGCCACUAAGGUGGUGAAGUUGUUGAUGCCCUACUUCCAGGAAAAGCCUCUAAGCUUCAGUUCAUACUGAAUCGUACCCUAAACCGACACAGGUGGUCAGGUAGAGAAUACUAAGGCGCUUGAGAGAACUCGGGUGAAGGAACUAGGCAAAAUUGUACCGUAACUUCGGGAGAAGGUACGCUCUUGUUUGUGAAGGACUUGCUCUGUAAGCAAACGAGAGCCGCAGUGACCAGGUGGCUGGGACUGUUUAUUAAAAACACAGCACUGUGCAAAAUCGUAAGAUGACGUAUACGGUGUGACACCUGCCCGGUGCCGGAAGGUUAAUUGAUGGGGUUAGCUUAGGCGAAGCUCUUGAUCGAAGCCCCGGUAAACGGCGGCCGUAACUAUAACGGUCCUAAGGUAGCGAAAUUCCUUGUCGGGUAAGUUCCGACCUGCACGAAUGGUGUAACCAUGGCCACGCUGUCUCCACCCGAGACUCAGUGAAAUUGAAAUCGCAGUGAAGAUGCUGUGUACCCGCGGCUAGACGGAAAGACCCCGUGAACCUUUACUACAGCUUGGCACUGAACAUUGACCCUACAUGUGUAGGAUAGGUGGGAGGCUUUGAAGCAGGAACGCUAGUUUCUGUGGAGCCGACCUUGAAAUACCACCCUUGUAGUGUUGAUGUUCUAACUUAGGCCCCUGAAUCGGGGUUGAGGACAGUGCCUGGUGGGUAGUUUGACUGGGGCGGUCUCCUCCCAAAGAGUAACGGAGGAGCACGAAGGUUUGCUAAGUACGGUCGGACAUCGUACGGUUAGUGUAAUGGUAGAAGCAAGCUUAACUGCGAGACAGACACGUCGAGCAGGUACGAAAGUAGGUCAUAGUGAUCCGGUGGUUCUGAAUGGAAGGGCCAUCGCUCAACGGAUAAAAGGUACUCCGGGGAUAACAGGCUGAUACCGCCCAAGAGUUCAUAUCGACGGCGGUGUUUGGCACCUCGAUGUCGGCUCAUCACAUCCUGGGGCUGAAGUCGGUCCCAAGGGUAUGGCUGUUCGCCAUUUAAAGUGGUACGCGAGCUGGGUUUAGAACGUCGUGAGACAGUUCGGUCCCUAUCUGCCGUGGGCGUUUGAGAAUUGAGAGGGGCUGCUCCUAGUACGAGAGGACCGGAGUGGACGAACCGCUGGUGUUCGGGUUGUGAUGCCAAUUGCAUUGCCCGGUAGCUACGUUCGGAACUGAUAACCGCUGAAAGCAUCUAAGCGGGAAGCAGGCCUCGAGAUGAGUUCUCACUUUGACUUAGAGUCAACUGAAGGGCCGUUGAAGACUACAACGUUGAUAGGCGAGAUGUGGAAGUGCUGUGAGGCAUUAAGCUAACUCGUACUAAUUACCCGUGAGGCUUAACCAU